CCUAGGGGAGGCAGCAGUGGGGAAUCUUGCGCAAUGGGCGAAAGCCUGACGCAGCCAUGCCGCGUGAAUGAUGAAGGUCUUAGGAUUGUAAAAUUCUUUCACCGGGGACGAUAAUGACGGUACCCGGAGAAGAAGCCCCGGCUAACUUCGUGCCAGCAGCCGCGGUAAUACGAAGGGGGGCUAGCGUUGCUCGGAAUUACUGGGCGUAAAGGGAGCGUAGGCGGAUAGUUUAGUCAGAGGUGAAAGCCCAGGGCUCAACCUUGGAAUUGCCUUUGAUACUGGCUAUCUUGAGUGUGGGAGAGGUUAGCGGAACUCCGAGUGUAGAGGUGAAAUUCGUAGAUAUUCGGAAGAACACCAGUGGCGAAGGCGGCUAACUGGCCCAUUACUGACGCUGAGGCUCGAAAGCGUGGGGAGCAAACAGGAUUAGAUACCCUGGUAGUCCACGCCGUAAACGAUGAGUGCUAGUUGUCGGCAUGCAUGCAUGUCGGUGACGCAGCUAACGCAUUAAGCACUCCGCCUGGGGAGUACGGUCGCAAGAUUAAAACUUAAAGGAAUUGACGG
rnacentral:rRNA from 1 species